AACCACUCUGGGAUACUGUGAUUCUAUGAUUUAUAUUCGCUGAGAAAUGCUGGAGCAGGAAGCCCACGGCCUGAACUGGUGUUGGCACCUAGAAGAGAAGCAAGUGCUGUGGCCAGGUAUUGGGCACCCAUCUCUGGUUUUGGUUUGGACACUGACUCACCCGGUGAGCUCGGGGAAAUAAUUUCCCUUCUCUGUGCACCUGCUUCCACUCCCCACCUCCAGUUGCCUCCUGGUUGGGCUCGGUGCUCUUCAGGACAUGGUCUGUCUCUCACUGCAUGUACAUACAGCGCCUCAGCACAAUGGAGCCUUGUCUUGGUUGGAGCCUUAAGGUGUUCGUGUCAUCCAAACAGGAAUAAAAGGUAUGCCCAGACAACAAGACUAGCUUCCCGGACGUGCUGCUCUGCAAGCAUGUCUGAAACCUGGUGUGCUGGGAGCUGCCUCUGUUCCUAGUUCAUGACUUCUCCCAGCCAGCCGGCAGUGCAUUACCUGGUUCCAGUUACACCACAGAGGUGAACUGGCACGUUCCCAGUUCCACUGGGAGCUAGUGUGAAAUCACUGAACUCAUUUUGCAAAUUCCAGCAGAGCCUGAUAGGAGCCUCCAUCCCUGCAGCCCCGGAUGGGAGCCUCCAACCCUGCAGCAGUGGAUCUGAGCCUCCAUCCCUGCAGCCCGGGACCUGCGCCACCUCCCUGCGGGUGCGGAGCUCCUCACUCAGCCCUGAAGCUCAGAGCCAGCCCUUCCCACUCUUAGCCCACACUGGCCUCAGCCUGUUCCACUUUGCCAAGGGAGAAACGAGCAGAGACAUUUCCCCCCCUCGUCUGAGGAGGGCUGAUUUCAAAUACAAGAAGAAAUCUGCUUCAGAAAAUGCCCAUCUGCCUGUGCAGGUUUUAUUCCUGUCAAAUCAGCGCUGUCCAGAGCUGCUCAUUUUCUGCUCCUGCCACCAACAUUCUUUUACUCACACCGAGUGUUGUAAUCGGGGAAUGGGAAAGUCACCCUGAGGCCCACUCUUCAUCACAGCAAUGCAUGGAGGUGACCUGAGCUCCACAUUUCUGGCCCAUCUGUAUUGCGCUGUUGCCUUUUCCUUCGCGGGAGAGCGCCAGGUAUUUUACAUUUCAUCCUGCUCCCACAGACUGCAGUGAUUUAUAACAGGAGCUGCCUUAUUAAUGUCAAGGGCAGAAUUGCUACCAACAUUCCAGCUGCAAGAGCGUAUGGAGAUCAUUCCAUUAGCUGUAGCAUGAUCCCAGCACCCAGGGCUGUAGCUGAUGUUCCUCUCUCUGCUCGCAGCCUCAGCCAAGUCUGGGUGCUGGUUUCUGGGCCAGUGGGUGAGACAUGAACAGGCCCAUUCCAAGCUAGAGCUUUUCAACCUCGGAGCAGCCCAAAGCGAGUGGUGGGGCUCAGGUUUCCGUGCUUUUGACAGAGGCACUGCUGGGAUGGAACCUCUCUCUGCUCCUUCUGGAGGAUUUACACUGCCACAAGCCUUCAUUUUUUCCAGAUGUUUUACCUAAUAAAUCAAGGAGUCUCAUCAGAGGAUUCGAAUCCAAAAGCUGUUACCAUGACUUCAAAGGCACAGGCUGGAAUGGAAAGAAGCAGCGCAGACAUUUUGUACCACUCUAGUCACUGGUCAUGAAAAUACACUCUGCUUCCAGGCUUUUUUUUUGCUGUGGAUCCCAAAACUCCACUGUGAUUAAAUGAAAAGGUGCUGUGCUCCUCCAGCCAGCCUUUGCUUUAAAGAAUCGAGCUGCAGCACUCACAGCCCUAUGGUUGGCAGUAGCUGAGGACGGGGCUGGUCCUGGGUGGAGGUGAGCCCUGCCACCCCCUGUCCCAGAUCAGAGCCUGUUCUUGCAGGGUUGGACUCGUUCUGUGUCUUCAGCUCAGUACAAGGCCUCGUGUUCACCCUGAGAGCUGGUUUAAGCUAUUCCCAUAUAAAGGAUUCAGAUGUCCAUUCAUGUGCUUCAGGUGCUUGGGAGAGGGGAAGAUAAAGAGUUACAUGGCUGCAAAAUGUUAUUGUUCAAAUUGGUUUGUUCCUUAGUGGAGGAUGUAACUUUCUUCUUUAAAGAUAGUAAACCCUUUCUUUUCACAGUGUCUACACAGUGUCAUUUGCUUUCACUGUUACAUUGCUAAAGAUAAAUGCUCUGGUGUUUUGAGAAACUGCUGUGUAUGUGUUUCUAAUUACUUGAUAGCAGGGUACUGGUGGAGAAUGUAAUGAAGGAAAGCAGCAGAAGAAAGAAAAGCUGUUCCUGUGGGUAGGUGAGCAGAACACCUACAAGGUUGUGUUUCGGCUUCCUGCGCUCCCAGAAAGUGCUGGUGUGGCUCCAGCUGCCUAAGUUAGGAUCCAUUCUGCAGCAGCUCCUCCUGACAGCAGUACCAAGGAUGCUGAACCCAGCACCCCAAACUGCCACGGCUGCUCGGGACUGGGGACAUCUAGAAUGCAACGUGUGGAGCUGUCAGAAUGGAAUGGGAGCGGCACAGAUCGGCUUCGGGAGCCAAAAAUAGGCUGUGUGCUGCUGCUGUGUCACCCACCCUCCAGAGGCCCAGGGAGUGCUCGGAGGGGGGAUUUUGUCCAUGCUGAUGGCUGCAUUGGCAUUCCCGUGUUCCUGAUGUCAUCACGUGCAUUACCCUUUCCCUAAAGGAAAUUCCUUCACAGCAUCUGAAGGGGCGAUGAGGUCUUAAGGAGCAUUCCAGCAGGAGGAAGCAGACCCAAAACUAAAGGGCUGUGAGAUGUGUAUGAACCAGAUAAUUGCUCAUUCCAGCAAACAGGACUCUGUCCCUGUCCCAGUCUGUUCAGUGUCCAUACUCUUUCCCCUUGCUGCGGAUCAUUGUCCCUGUCUUCACUACAUCAUAGCAAUGAUGGGUGCCUCUGGCUUUGACCUGUUAAAUUACUGGACUAAUGUAAUUUUGUUCAAAGGUUCUAAACCAACUCUGUGCCUCCAGUUUCUGCCUUUUAAAGCAGACGCUACUUGGGGCUCCCAGAAUCAUUAAAUAUGCAUAUUCAGUUUUGAACACCUAAAGCAGUAAACAGCUUGAGAUACAAACCAGCCAUGACUGACCAGCAACAGCAACGGGCACUUGUGGGAGUUGUAGAUGUUAACCCAACAGUGGGAUCUGUCUAGUCUCAAACUGAUGCAUGAGGCUUGCUCCAUUUGUAACGUGGCUUUGUCUUCCCACUCGCAGGACUCCGCAGGUGCAGGUGAUCAGUGCCCUGAGCAGUGGAUGGCUUCCAGAGCUGGGGAGAGAUGACAGCUGGAAGCCACUGGGAAUCAUGCCUUAGGCUCUUGUGUUUUGUGUGUGCAGGGGAUAUGGGCUGCAUGUGGGGAGAAGUGAAGCAGGGAGCAACUGUGCCAAGAACAAGGGAAAUGAAGGAUUCCAGCCAUAUGACCCAAGACAUCAGCUGUACCUGUCAGGGAACCAAAACCCAAAGUGGCAGGCCUAUGUUAGUGACCUGCCAUGCUGGGCAGAGGGCAGGUUUAAUUGGUAUCUGUAAAAUGUGCUGGGAUAACCAGGAGCAAUGGACUGUGUAUUUUCCAGGCAUCCUCUGUUGCUGGUCUAAGAUUGUUUCCUUGAUUCCCCCAGCCCAGAGGCAAUGACUGUUUCUCUGUUCUGUCAAUUCUCUUCCUCUUGUUUUUAGCCUUUCUCCUCUUCGUGUUUUUCCUCUCUGGAAUUGCUCUCACACCACUGCAGUCUCCUUUCCCUGCCUUGGCUGGCACUGGCACCAGGAGAAAAUGAGGUAGUGUUUACACAGCAGUGCAGCUGCUGGACGCAGGAGAUAUGAAGUGUGGACCUGCUGUGCUCCCUUUGGUGACUCACAGCACCUCUCCCUGCUUCUGAUCUCCUUCAGCUUUCCUUCCAGGCCGACCUUCUCUGGGGAGAGGACUUGCUUUUAGUGUGUGAUCCUACCGUGUCUAAUACAAUAGGACCCAACCUCAGGUAAGACCUUUAGGCACUGCCAUUAUAUGAAUGAGAACAAGAUUGUUGGUGUCAGUAAUUAACAUUCCUGUGGGAUUGUUGGAAGUGCUUUGGGAUAAACACCACCUGGAAUCCUCAUUUGGCUUAUGUGUUUUUUAAGCUGUAGAGGAGGCUGAUCCUGUUCACAUGAGAGGGCAUGGACCAUCUGCCUCAUCUCUUACUGUAUACGCAACAAAGUCUUGCAGCCAAAGAUGAGUUACAAUGCGCCAGUGAGAAGUGGGACACUGGAAAAGUGAGAGCAUUGAAGGUGGGGAAGAGGAAUGGAGACUCCAUUAUCAGGCUGUCUUCAGUAAGGAUCUCUUCUGAGAACAAAGGCAAUAUGACAGCCACCAAAACAGGGAAAAUUACCAAACUAAGUGCCACUGAUAACAAUGUGAAUGCCUGUGGCACAGUGUCAUCCCAUGACAGGCUUCCAGAGAUGAAAUCUCACACUGGUUUAAUGGAUGGAAAAAUCCUGCUGACUGCAAUAAUGUCAGGCUUUCCCCUUGGGGUUACCUCCAUUUCUCUCCUAAAUGCCAGCCCACAUUGUUAUGCACACGAUGAUAACAAUUAAAUUAUUCUUUUCCCUUAAAGUGUGGAUUGGAUGCAGUAAUCCCUGCCUUUUGGAUUCUAGGUUCCCUCUAUCUACAUCUGAAAUCCCUAAAUAAACAAACAUUGGAUUAGACCUCAACAGCUCCCUCUGCUCAGCAACUGAAGCCUUUAAAAGCAUUUCACACCAAGUGCUCUGCUCGUGUUUCAGACUCUCUUCAUCACUGACUCAAGCCAAGGAGCUCCUUCUUGCUUUCAAACUUGCCAGGGAACUAACCUUAGUUAUUGGAAGGUCUGGCUCCAUCUAUGACCCUCCCUGACUCUGUUGAGGAGUUGGAAUUGUUUAGCUGAUGACAUCAGGAAUGCCGUGAAUAUGCACUGGGGUUGGGGGGUUCCUGGUAAGCAGCCCACUAACCUAGGAUUUGCUCUGCAGAGUCAGGAGAGUGACUUUUAACCUCAGAGCAGUUUCAAAACCUCAGCUGUGAGCAAUAAACAUGAACAAUGAAUGGUAAAAGGAGAAUCUAGGCCCUCCUGAAUGAUGAAAGAUGUGCACCUUCCUGGCACUAUGGUGCUGGAAUUGGCAUGGAGACCUAUGCAGGAGCCAUCACUGGUCAUCACUGCCAGGAGUCACCAAUGGAUGUAGCUGAUGCCUCACCCACAAGGGAGGCAGCUCAGCAGAUUAAACUGAAGAGGUAACCAAAAACCCCAGCAAUUUAAUCCUGUGUUGCCACUGAUGCAGGCCAGCAGCAGCAUGGAAACUUACCCUGUAUGAGGAACAGAAUAGCUUGUAUGAGGUCCAGCACUUGGAGAGGAUGAGGGAGCUUUCUGCUCAACAUUUCCCAAGAGGACUGGAAGGACGGGUUCCUUGCUUGCCCUUCCUGCCUUCCGAGACUUGGCAUGGUCCGGAGCAGCUGGGAACUGGAACUGCAGGUCCAGCUCUGACUCCCACAGCCUUUGGCUGUGAUGUGUUGGAUGAGCACAGAACUGCUGGAGAAGCACUGAAUCCAAGAUCUCCGACAGAAGGAAUGAAAGAAUAAAUGUUUAUAAUUUAACCCGAGGGAUGGACUUAAGAUGCUUAAAUUUCAGCACAGUGGUUAGUCUGGCACUAUUAACAGUGACUGAAGUUCUUUCCUGGUAAUCCUUCUGGCAUAUCAGAUAUCCGUGGAACUCGGCAAGCAUAAUACGACGAAACCCAAACAUCCUUCUGAGGAGGUAAUUACUCAUCCUUGAGAAAACGCUCCGGGAUAUUUUUAGUGGAGGACAAAACCCCUGUUUCCUGACAGCAGAACUACAGGAUAAUGAAGUUUCACCAUGAGAAGCACUCCAGACACCUGUAUGGGCUGAGAGCUUGGGCUCACGGCGAUGGUGCAUCAGUCCCGCGUGUCGCUGUGUCUGUGCACGCACACCUGCGUGUGGUGCCCUGCAGAAUGUGUCAGCGUCUGCCCCGCUGCAGAGCUGCCAAAUAAACAAAUGUGCAAAUCCUGCUGGAUCAGGGGUAAUUUCAUGGGAAUAGAGAGGCAUCUGCAUCAAGCAGGACUCCGUCGCCACAGACAUGGGGCAUAGCAAGGUGAAUGUCCCUGAAAUCAUUCUUCGCUGCCUUAGCAGGAGUCUCACUACCAUGGCAGAGGCCUGUUUCUUUCUGAAACAAGUUAUUUUAAAGUAGUUUUAAACCAUUUUGCAGCACAAACACCCAUUUUGGGCGGAUGGACCCGUGUUUCACCUCCUGCAGUGCCCCACGGGUUCACUUAUCUCAUAGUUACCGCUUCUGGAGUCCUAUGUAAUUAAUGUACUGGAAAGAGACAAUUCAAUUAGUCAAUAAUAAAAUGAGUGAGGAUAGCGGGCACAUUGUAACAAUGUAAUUUAGUGGGCAACAAGCUGAGAUGGAAAAAAUAUCAGGGUACACUUCGCAUGGUUAAUGAAGGAGGAAUGUUAUUGUGUCCUGUCAGAAUACAGCACCCAGCAGCAACAGUGAACCCAGCUGAUGAUGCU